ACGACCUAAGUGUUUACUGAGGAAUGGAUAAACAAAAGGUGGGGUGGAGGCUGAGGAUGGGGGUGGAGUCAGAAGUCAGUGCUUAAUGGACACAAGAUUUUUUUUUUUUGCUUUUGGGUGAUGAAAACAUUCCAGAAUGAGAUCAUAGUGAUGGCUGCACAACACUGUUAAUGUACUGAAGGUCAUGAAUGGGCAAUCUGAUGCUACAUGUAAUUUAUGACAAUAAAUAAAAGCUUAGUAGGUGGUAAACCCAUCUGGCAAUGGAUGUUAAAGCAUUUCAGCUUUGGAGAUUAAAUGCUGCAGAGACUGUAGAAGAGACAACAUGAAUCUUUAAUAAUUUAGCAAUAGGCACAUUGAUCUUGAUCAGAGGGUUAUAGUCAUGAAGCACUAAUUUAAUGAAUUACAACUGGCUAGAUGCUAUACGCAUCAAGGAAUACAAUAUGGUAGGGUUUUUUCCUAAAAAGAUCCUCUUGUUUUGGGGACAACAGAGUUUCAUUCAAAAGCCAAUUCUUCAGUAUGAUUUAACUCAAAUAGUACAGCUCUUUAUCUGUAAAUAGCACGUCCAGCUGAAGGAACACCCUGGGGCAUGAUUAACCCUUUUUCAGUGUCGGAACCUGGAGCUCAGAGUGGUUAAAUGACUCGCCCACGAUGACACAGCUUGCAUCAUACAGAGCUGAACUUCGGUGUUCAGAUUCCAAACCAACUGCUCUUCCACUUUAAGACCUACUUCCCAUCACUGUAACCUUGCUUAUAAAAGAGCAGGGCCUAUCACAAGCCCAGUUAUGAGGAGGGUAACACUUACACAUGCAGCCCCAUCAGUAACCACAGGACGCUGAUAUAUUUAUCUGGAACAGUGUUUAACAUGUUAGUACAAGUGUUUUAUGUAGUUUAAUUUCCUUCUCCCAAUGUUUAACAUUGCAGUUCUUCAGAAAGAAGGGACAGAUGGCGCGCCUUCCUUGAGAGGUACUUUGUCAGUACACAUAUUGUACAUCUUUUAUCCAUGAGAAAAGAGUGCAAAUCCCUUCCAGGCAGGGCCCCCGACACUCUCCUUCCUCUCCUUGGUGGGAACUGUUACACUGUCCUCAGACACUGGGAGCUCUGCCCCUGCAGCUCCUGUAACUGAUGCGCUCUCCCUCACAUGCACGUUCUGCUUCUUUGCUCGUUCUGGUCAUCACUCUCCUCUUUCCCGUCUCUCCGUCCUAAUGCUUGGCGCUAACACGAUUCUCAACAUAUAUACUGAAUUCCCAGAAAUGAAGCCUACAUACUGUCCUGAUUCUCAAAGCAACUGUGCCUUCCUCCCCUUGAAACCAGGAAUGUGCCAGGGUCCCUCCGAUCUAGACAGGAAAAGCUCUGAGGACUGUAUCUGCUGCCCAAAUCUUACAAUGACAGGGCAACCGGUUCUUCUCUGGGUCAUAUCUGAUUUUCCUGAAAUAUUUCUGCAUCUUUUCUCCCAGCCCCUGAUUUGAUUUUGCUGAAUCUUUCCAUACACUUUUCAAAAUAACCAAGUAUACUUUAAGGAUUAGCAACAUACAUUGACUUGAAACAAGCUAAGAGUUAAUUCACUGACUCCGCUUUAGGUACAUCGAUCUGGCCAAGGAGAAGGAGCAGCCAAAAAGCAUUCCCCUCAAAAUCUUUACCGAGGACAUCAAUAACUGUGCCUGUGGCUCUGAGAAAGACUACCAGCUGUGGGUGACUGCUGGCAAGAAAAAGGCCUCAUACCCACUCACUGGCCAUGAACAUCCACACAGCAUUAAAAUCAGCCAUCUUCCAGCUACUGCGCUCCUGCCACAGGGACCAGAGGACUCUGCCUCUCCUUCUGCCCUCCUGGAGGCCAUCCUCUUGGAGAAGAGGUCCCCAGAGAUUCAAGGCCAAUUCGUCCUGAAGCCCAGGCACCCAGCCAGGAGCCAGCAGCGGAGAGGGGAGCCCCUUCCCUUCCUCAGGUGUCUUCUCUUGGCUCACGUCUCUGCUCCUGACACCAAACUCAUGCACAGAGCUGCUUCUCCGUGUGGGGGUGCAGGGACAGUACAGGUCACGAGACAGCCAACAGAAGUUCUGUGAGGAACUGGGCCUUUUGGCGGCACCCCAGUACUCAACAGGACAACCAGCGCCGAACUCUGCCAUCGGCAAAUCUAACACAGCUCUUUGGAGCUCCUCUGGGGGACAUGUGUGAGGAGGACAAGCUGCCUGCCCCAGUUCUGGAGAUGCUUUCCAUUCUGAAUCAAAAAGGGCCACUCACAAAAUGCAUCUUCAACAAAUCUGCGAGUAAAAUAUCAUGCAGAGUCCUGAAGGAAAAGCUGAACUCUGGGGACACAGUGAACAUGGAGAAUGAGUCCACUGUGGUGCUGGCAUCCGUCUUAAAGGUAGGGAAACGUCUAGCAUUAUCCGCACACAAAGGAACUCUGAAACUCUAUGGGGGUCCUUCAUCAUGACUGCCCAAGAGGAACAGGUGUCAUAGAUGAAGGAUCUGAAAAACUGGAAAACACUGCACAAAGUCAAAAUUUAAGUAAGCUACUUCGGGUGUUACAAGUCCCAUGUUAGGUAUACUUUCCUUUUUCAUCACAACCCUCUCCCCAUCUUCACUCCUGAACAAUCCAUGCAAAUACAAAUAUAAAUAAUAAAUGAAAAAGCACACACCUGUACAGAAUGUACCAAAGCAAGCUUUCUGCCUUUGAGGACUUCCUUACCACCUUCCUAAUGAAGCCAAAGUCUCCAAAAAAAAAUUCACAUUAAGCUUUUGAAAAUAUUUAUACAAGUUAUCAAGUAAGUAAAUAUCUACUUUACAAUGAAUCAAAACAUGCUCAGUAAGGCCAUCGAAAUCUGUGAUCAUUUCAUCGUCCUCCCUUCCCUGUCUCCUAAUGCAUUUACUUGAAAGCUAGUGUAGGGAGGCUGGUACCUUGUGUGCCUCCUUUCCCCUCCUCUACCACCUUUGGCUUCCCUUGUUCAUGUUUGUUAUGCUUAACGCACCACCCGUGGUUACAGUUCCAUGGUAAGCAGCUCCUGCCACAUGCC